rnacentral:miRNA from 1 species
ACAAUAUUUGCUGCCCAUAUUGUUCCUGGUUGUAACAAUAUUGUUGAACUAUGCUGAACAAUAUUGUUAACAACCAGGAACAAUAUGGGCAGUAAAAUGUUGUUC